UACGUAGGGUGCGAGCGUUGUCCGGAAUUACUGGGCGUAAAGAGCUCGUAGGUGGUUUGUCGCGUUGUCCGUGAAAACUCACAGCUCAACUGUGGGCGUGCGGGCGAUACGGGCAGACUGGAGUACUGCAGGGGAGACUGGAAUUCCUGGUGUAGCGGUGGAAUGCGCAGAUAUCAGGAGGAACACCGGUGGCGAAGGCGGGUCUCUGGGCAGUAACUGACGCUGAGGAGCGAAAGCCGUGGGGAGCGAACAGG
rnacentral:rRNA from 1 species